CUACCGGGGUAUCUAAUCCUGUUUGCUCCCCACGCUUUCGAGCCUCAGCGUCAGUUACAGUCCAGAGAAGCGCCUUCGCCACUGGUGUUCUUCCUAAUCUCUACGCAUUUCACCGCUACACUAGGAAUUCCCUUCUCCUCUCCUGCACUCUAGACUUCCAGUUUGAAAUGCAGCACCCAAGUUAAGCCCGGGUAUUUCACAUCUCACUUAAAAAUCCGCCUACGCUCCCUUUACGCCCAGUAAAUCCGGACAACGCUUGCCACCUACGUAUUACCGCGGCUGCUGGCAC
rnacentral:rRNA from 1 species